CAAAGAUUCAUUUUCAUUAUUUUCAGAAUCACAAGGAUGCUGUGCAACCAUAAACAGCAUAUCUCAUGAAUUAGAAAUAUACAGCUUCAGCGCUCUGUAACCUUGAAGGACAGUCAGAUUGAUAAAAAUUGUGAAUGGACAUAAACACCAGGACUUGAUUGGCCCACCCACCAAACAACCAAUGGAAAAAGACUUCUGUGCAAAGUCCCUUAUUGCUUAAGCUUACAAAAAAAA